rnacentral:lncRNA from 1 species
UGGACUGUGUUACUAUUAGUAGCAAAAUCCUAUUGUUGCUACCAGUUUUUUAUCUUUUGGAUUAAAUCUUUUCAUUAUUUCUAACCAUUGGAUUAAAUAUUAUAACCAAGUGGGGACCACUCAACCCUACGGGGACCACUCAAUUCUAACAUACUAAUAUCAUCCUGACCCUACAAUUUUUUAUCCAAAGGUUAAAAACUUGUCAAAUUGCAUUCAAAGGAUUGAAAACAGAGUAUAGCAAAAAGAGCGUUUUACUAUUAAUAGUAUUCCAGCCUAAUUCUAUAUAUAUAUAUAUAUAUAUAUAUAUAUAUAUAUAGCAAAAUCCCAUUGUUGCUACCAGUUUUUUAGCCUUUGGAUCAACUCUUUUCAUUAUUUCUAACCAUUGGAUUAAAUACUAUAACCCAGUGGGGACCACUCAACCCUAGGGGGACCACUAAACUCUAACCGACUAAUAUCAUUCUGACCCUACAAUUUUUCAUCUAAGGGUUAAAAACUUGAUAGCAAAAAGAGGGUUUUACUAUUAAGGGCCCGUUUGGUUCGAGUUAUGUAAUAUUACAAAGUAUCUCGACAUAUCCAGGUAUCUUGGAUUUCGGCGUGAGAUUACUGCUGAUGCUGCAUUAGCGCGUUUGGUUUAAUGCAGUAAUGUAAUACUAGAUUACAGUAUUUAUACCAUUAAUACGUUUGGUUCAGUUUAUAAAAUUUAGCAAUCCUAAUAUAAAAGUAUAGUUUUUUUCCAAAAUUGCCCUUUGUUGUGGUCAUUUGAAUAUUAUUUUUUGCGAAAAUAACGAAUGGAGGGAAGGAGAUCGUGAUGAUUACCUGGGAGGACGACGCAAUAGAAGAUGAUAGGUGUUCGUGCGAGAGAGAGAGAGAGAGAAAGAGAUAGAGAUAGAGAGAGAGAGAAAGAGAGAGAGAGAGAGAGCGAGAGAAAGCGGCGUGCGAGAGAGAGGGAGGAAGGCGAGAGAGAUGAAAAUAAUGCUGUUAAUUAGAUUUGGGGUUGUUGGAGGGUAAAAUUGUCAUUUUACAUAAUAUGUAGUAUUAACGGGUUUCAGUAAUGCAAGAUACAUGACCCCCCUCCCGUUAAUAUUUUCGAUGUAAUCCUGCUCGAUUUGUAAUGCUACAUUAACGAUUAGAUUACAUAACAGAUUAACCAAACACAGUUAUCCUGGCAGGAUUGCCUGUAAUCCUGCCAGGAUAACUCGAACCAAACGCACCCUAAUAGUAUUCCGGCCUAAUUAUAUAUAUAUAUCUUACAAUUUUUUCAAAUAUAAUUUAUUAAAAAUUAUAAAUCCCAUCCCUAAAAUCCUAAACCCCCCACUUAUCCCCCAAACACUUUUUGAAAAAUUUUAAAAAUUUAUAAUUUGUAAUCUUAAAAUUAAUAUUUAUAAUUUUACAUUCUAAAUUUUAAAUUUUAAAUUUUAAAUUAUUACUUUUAAUUAUUUAAAUUUUAAAUUUGCUAUUUUAUAUUUGUAAAUUAAGAUUUGAUUUAAAAUUUAAAAUUUAUAACUUUAAAUUUUUAAAUUUGAGAUUUA